rnacentral:rRNA from 1 species
AUUGAACGCUGGCGGCAGGCCUAACACAUGCAAGUCGAACGGUAACAGGAAACAGCUUGCUGUUUCGCUGACGAGUGGCGGACGGGUGAGUAAUGUCUGGGAAACUGCCUGAUGGAGGGGGAUAACUACUGGAAACGGUAGCUAAUACCGCAUAACGUCGCAAGACCAAAGAGGGGGACCUUCGGGCCUCUUGCCAUCAGAUGUGCCCAGAUGGGAUUAGCUAGUAGGUGGGGUAACGGCUCACCUAGGCGACGAUCCCUAGCUGGUCUGAGAGGAUGACCAGCCACACUGGAACUGAGACACGGUCCAGACUCCUACGGGAGGCAGCAGUGGGGAAUAUUGCACAAUGGGCGCAAGCCUGAUGCAGCCAUGCCGCGUGUAUGAAGAAGGCCUUCGGGUUGUAAAGUACUUUCAGCGGGGAGGAAGGGAGUAAAGUUAAUACCUUUUCUCAUUGACGUUACCCGCAGAAGAAGCACCGGCUAACUCCGUG